GAUGAACGCUGGCGGCGUGCCUAAUACAUGCAAGUCGAGCGAACAGACGAGGAGCUUGCUCCUCUGACGUUAGCGGCGGACGGGUGAGUAACACGUGGAUAACCUACCUAUAAGACUGGGAUAACUUCGGGAAACCGGAGCUAAUACCGGAUAAUAUAUUGAACCGCAUGGUUCAAUAGUGAAAGACGGUUUUGCUGUCACUUAUAGAUGGAUCCGCGCCGCAUUAGCUAGUUGGUAAGGUAACGGCUUACCAAGGCAACGAUGCGUAGCCGACCUGAGAGGGGGAUCGGCCACACUGGAACUGAGACACGGUACAGACUCCUACGGGAGGCAGCAAUAGGGAAUCUUCCGCAAUGGGCGAAAGCCUGACGGAGCAACGCCGCGUGAGUGAUGAAGGUCUUCGGAUCGUAAAACUCUGUUAUUAGGGAAGAACAAAUGUGUAAGUAACUAUGCACGUCUUGACGGUACCUAAUCAGAAAGCCACGGCUAACUACGUG
rnacentral:rRNA from 1 species